GAUGAACGCUGGCGGCGUGCCUUACACAUGCAAGUCGAACGGCAGCACGGGUGCUUGCACCUGGUGGCGAGUGGCGAACGGGUGAGUAAUACAUCGGAACGUACCUUAUCGUGGGGGAUAACGCAGCGAAAGCUGUGCUAAUACCGCAUACGCCCUGAGGGGGAAAGCGGGGGAUCGCAAGACCUCGCGCGAUUAGAGCGGCCGAUGCCUGAUUAGCUUGUUGGCGGGGUAAAAGCCCACCAAGGCGGCGAUCAGUAGCUGGUCUGAGGGGACGAACGGCCACACUGGGACUGAGACACAGCCCAGACUCCUACGUGAGGCAGCAGGGGGGAAUUUUGGACGAUGGAGGCAACCCUGACCCAGCCAUGCCGCGUGAGUGAAGAAGGCCUUCGGGUUGUAAAGCUCAUUUGUCAGGGAAGAAACACCGGCUCUAACACAGUCCGGGAAUGACGGUACCUGAAGAAUAAGCACCGGCUAACUACGUGCCAGCAGCCGCGGUAA
rnacentral:rRNA from 1 species